rnacentral:rRNA from 1 species
GAUGAACGCUAGCGAUAGGCCUAACACAUGCAAGUCGAGGGGCAUCACAAAGAGUAGCAAUACUUUUGGUGGCGACCGGCGGAUGGGUGAGUAACACGUAUGCAACCUACCUUCUACAUUGGGAUAACCCGUUGAAAGACGGACUAAUACCGAAUAAUACAGGGGCGCCACAUGGUGAUAUUUGUUAAAGUUUCGAGCAAUCGAUUCGGUAGAAGAUGGGCAUGCGUAUGAUUAGCUAGUUGGUGAGGUAACGGCUCACCAAGGCAACGAUCAUUAGGGGUUCUGGAAGGAAGGUCCCCCACACUGGUACUGAGACACGGACCAGACUCCUACGGGAGGCAGCAGUGAGGAAUAUUGGUCAAUGGGCGCGAGCCUGAACCAGCCAAGUCGCGUGAAGGAAGACUGUCCUAUGGAUUGUAAACUUCUUUUGUACAGGAAUAAAGUGUUCUACGUGUAGGAUUUUGCAUGUACUGUACCAAUAAGGAUCGGCUAACUCCGUGCCAGCCGCCGCAGUAUAC